rnacentral:ncRNA from 1 species
GCCUUACUUUACAGUAAUGUGAAGUAUAAUCCGAUCAUAGCCAUAUGCUGGGAAGUCCCGAAAGGGGCGAUCAGCAGGAAACCAAUCUCGUUGAUUGGGAUCCUCAGAGACUAAACGCUAUGCCCCGUCCAAUUUUCUUCGAAAAAUGUGGCGGGUGAAGAUAUAGUCCUUCGCGCCUGGAAGCGAAAAGCGA